rnacentral:lncRNA from 1 species
UGGUCCCUGGACUUUUCCAAGGCUUCACAGAGAAUUUUAGAAGGGGUCCUACAUUCCAGUAAAAUCCUGGCUUAGGAUUCAAUAGAUAAAAGUACAGAAAUGCUUGGGAAAGUGGCUGUGUUGGAUAUCGCUGAAGAAGAGAACAUUUGAACUUGGAACUCCUGAAGUAGUGUGUGUGUAGACUGCUAUAACCAUGUGGAAUAAGCCACAGGAGCUGGAUUCCAGGAGAGCGCAGCAGAGUCCACGCCAGAGGCUGCAUUUCUUGGACGGAACCUCCCUGCCCCAGGCAUCCGGAGCACCAGACGGGCUAGUCCUUGCCCUGGUUGGGGGAAGGCGGGAGGGGGGUCUCUUUGGCUUUCUCCUCCCUGCAGCCUGAGGGAGCUCCGUGAGGACCCACUAGCGGCUUCUGGAACUUUACACCCAGC